UACGGAGGGUGCAAACGUUGCUCGGAAUCAUUGGGCGUAAAGAGCUCGUAGGUGGCGGGUCACGUCGGGUGUGAAAGCCCGGGGCUUAACUCCGGGUCUGCAUUCGAUACGGGUCUGCUGGGGUCCGGCAGGGGAGACUGGAAUUCCUGGUGUAGCGGUGAAAUGCGCAGAUAUCAGGAGGAACACCGAUGGCGAAGGCAGGUCUCUGGGCAUUAACUGACGCUGAGGAGCGAAAGCAUGGGGAGCGAACAGG
rnacentral:rRNA from 1 species